AACACUGUUAACCUGCGGUACCUGCGGAGGGAUCAUUACCGAGUUUACAACUCCCAAACCCCUGUGAACAUACCACUUGUUGCCUCGGCGGAUCAGCCCGCUCCCGGUAAAACGGGACGGCCCGCCAGAGGACCCCUAAACUCUGUUUCUAUAUGUAACUUCUGAGUAAAACCAUAAAUAAAUCAAAACUUUCAGCAACGGAUCU
rnacentral:misc_RNA from 1 species